GAACAAAGAAGGGCCAUAGCAGCCAGCGGAGGGAAGAGUGGUGUCCACCAGGCAUGGAGGCAGCCGACGCAUCCGAUAUUUCAAUUGUGUGCUAGCUACGGAUCCUAGAAGAGAAGGGGAGGUCAGCCCAGUGCUCCAUUGUCAUUUCUAUCUCACCACCGAUCCGAUCCUAGCAAGGGAGACAUCCAAGUGAUUUCCAUCCACGAGCCAUCCAAGCAUGGGUCUGAUGCUAGCUAGGUGAAUUGUGUUUGGAAAUUAAUGGGGUCGUCGACGAGCAUGUGAAAACAGACACGGGUAGUGCAUUCGCAUGAGAAAUUCCUGUGCCUCCUGACUGAAAUGGAUAUGAAGCAGAGACUCCCAAGGCACAAGAUCUCAUGUGUAAAUACAAGUGUGUUGUUAUUAUGUUUAGCACUCUCACUACUUGAUGUCCUCCAAUAUGGAGUACAAACCCGAACAAUUAUCUAUAUUAGCAAGGCCUCCAUCCCUGACUGGGAAAUUCAUGUUUCUCUACCCAUACCAAGCAGUCCUACUGAGUGUAUCAAAUAUUGAUGCAGUUCUUAUUGUGGUUCCUCUUCCACUGUCCACUACGAAGUGGAGCCUGUUUUCUUCGACAAGGAGAAAGAAACUUGGGAUUUGAAAAGCAACGCCGAGAGGUAUGAAGCAGCCAAGAAGAAAGAAGAAUUAAAUGCAUGAUUUAAGUAUUUAAGAUGACAAUUCUGCCAAGGCUUUCAAGAGAUAUGAAAAGGUGUCUCUAUUGACUAUCAAGUAUAUGGUCUAUAGUAGUUUCUGGUGUUCUUCGCAAAAUGGUGAAGCUUACAAUGAUAGCGCGUGUCACUGAUGUCCUUCCACUGGAAGAAGGGCUGGAUAACGGGUGGGAUCAGAAGGAUUCUGAGUUCUACAAGCAGCAAGCUAAGCUUCUUUUGAAGAAGUUGUCAAAGGGGCAACAUGAAGCCUCGCGGAUGUCAGAUGAGACUGGAUCGUACAUUUUCCAGUAUCCUGUGUCACUUGCGAUCCUAGGUAAUACUUUAAAAUCAGAAAAGAUGCUUAUUUAUGAAUUCUACUUCAUCGUGUCCAUUUUAUAUGCUUGAUCCUAGGUAUCAUAUUAGAUAUGAAAUGGAGUUAUUACACACUCAUAUUCCGAUAUUCGUAUAUGCAAUGAAGUUGCAUCAAAUUACAGUGUAGGAAGUAAAUAACAGAUUACCCUUAAGAAAGUGGGUCAGAGAGUCUGUGUGCACCUUAUGGUCAUCUUCAAAAGUUCUGAACUUUCUGGGUAUAUAUUUGCUAGAUGGGAAGACUCCUUCAUGGAAAUAAUAUAUCAUGAUAAUGGUAUAUAGCUGACCCUAAACAUGAACAAGACAGCAAAUAACAAAUGAUUCUCUACAAAUAAAUUAUGAACUGUUUACCAAUGAUUUAGAAUUCCAAGUAAUAAAUGAUAUAAGAUUAUAAUUCAUCACCUGAAAAAACAGGCCUUUGUAGCCAUAUUGUUAUUUGCUCCAACCGAUAAUAUACCUUUAAGAUUUGGUAGAAGUGGAUAGAUCAUCAAGACCCUUGUAAGCAGACAACAUUAUAGUGUGACACUACAAUCCUAUUUUAGAGCUAGAAAUGGAAGGGUAUGCGAACAUUAUGAGACACUUUGGACAUAUUUAUCCACAUCAAUUAUUUACAAACAAUAGCCAUGUCAUACCUUCACAAUGGCCACAACAGCACAAUCUUGACGACAUUUCAGCAUAUUCAGGAAAAUCACUUUUGCCUUUUAUAUGCUGAAUCCUCGCAUGCGCAUAAGUGAAGGUAGCAGUUAGUUCAAGUUCAUCUUCAAGGAAAAAUCAGAAUACAUCUAACUUCUUACCAGUUGAGGUGUAAAAUAUCUCCCAGUUAUUUAGACAAAGCAUACAAAAUAGUUUCUGGACAACUGAUAAAGUUUGCAUACCGUAGUAUGACAUGAUAAUCUCCAAACUUCUCUGGGAUCUUUUCACUUGCAAGAAUCCUCAAGGAUUGCAUAUAGGGCUCUUCCUUUUUGUCAUGAAUUUCAUUGGCAACAUUCUGAGAAAGUUUGGUCUUGAUGUUCCUUCUAAAUAACUGCUCAAUAUACCAGGGCACGUUCUCGUCUCUUUCAAAAUGAGGGACACAUUUUAGUUUAAUACUGCAACUACACAAACUAAGUACUCUCAUGUGGUGAUUGACUGUUUCCAAUAAUCACCUGAUCUAGAUUUCAUACUUACAGAAGUAAUUGAUAAAAGAUAGUGUAGGUAGUUACGUAAGGCACAUACAAGCAUCCAAAGCUUCAAAUUGCAUACAAGCAAACUCCAUUUAUCCUCUUGUAAGCACAAACGUACAUCCUGAUCAUCCUUCUGACAACAAAAAAAAGAAAAUAUAGAAAAAAAAGGAGGAUUUACCUUCUCUGGAGAUGAUGGACCGGGCUGGAGAGGAGGUGUGGGGCAGGGGUUAUGGCCGCAGGUGGCCGUCGUCGGCCGUGGGUUCUCGGAGGAUGCGACCAGAAAAACCAGUGGCGCUGGUGGAGACAAUGGAGCUUGCCUGCGGCCAUAGCGACGGUGGCACCGUCGGGAUCAGUGUCAUCAGCCCCGGGGGAGGGUACCAGCUUGUCGGCGGAGGCGGACAUGAGAGAGGGGAGGGAGUUGUUCAGGCAGCGCACGCCUGGCCCUCGGCGUCCCAGGCAAACUGCUUGUGGAGGCCGGAUUCACGCUGGCGCUGCUGGUUGGAGCUGUCGGUUCGACGCAGCGGGAGAUGACGGUUGAUGAUGGGAACAGAUAUAUGCGUGGAUGGACUAUGGGAGAGUGAAGGGGACCAUGGAGCGGUGGAGUUGAGGAGCCUGGGAGUGAUGUGAGUGAGGGGAACGAGUGAGGAAGGAGAUAUGUACGUCUUUCGUUUCCUUUUUCUCUUUUGAUUUAUGUUCACAUUCUGUCUAUGCAUAGAAGUGGGCUAUAUUACCUACCGUUGAGAAAGAGCAAGAUGAAAUCAUGGUUGCUUGAAUUGAUUACUUAUUAGAAGAUAAAUGCCUCUCCCUAUAUGAAUCACUGCCUCGUACUGAUUCAAUGUCGGUUCUCUACCCUUGAUUUGAUGCAAUAAGAGUGAAAGCCUAUGGAAUUAAAGAUUAUUUUCUAGGAUUAUGUGAAAUAUAGUGCGCAGGUAGGGGAGGUGGACGGUCUUCUCACUGGGCGCGAGGAGGUAGGGGAAGACUGACGGUCAAAGUGAAGCUCUAGAGUGGGGACUGGGGAGCGAUGAUAUGUGCGCGUGUGUUUAGGGGCAUGCAUCAUUUGUUUUUCACCCAACUAUACACCGUACUUGUGGUUGAGCUUAUAUAAUGGUGGAAUAUAAUUGCCCUGACAAUGAAAACUCUUGGUUAAACUCAAUGGUAGUCACAAAGAGUUUUGGUCAGAAAGUGGUCUACACAUACUUUUGGAAAAACAUCGAUGUUUGCUGGUUUAUUUGGCGAAGAAAAAGUAGGCACUUAUAUAAGUGUGGCCAGUCUUUCCUAUGCAUGUGCUUUUAGUUUUAUGGCGCAAGAAAGCUCAAGUGUUUGAUCAAGCCAUCUGAUAAAUCUUCUGCCUACCCUACAAAAAGAGGAGUUACAAUACAAAUGCCACUUACGGGAAAAGAGAAAUGAGGAAUAAUGGUUUUAGAACAUACUAUUGUAUGCAUUGUUCGAAAAUGCCAAUGUGGAUUUGUAUAUGCUACUUAUAUAAUAUUUUCUUAUUAGAAUCAAGUGUACAAAAAAGUGAGACACUAUAUUUAUUUCUUGCUGCUUCACAUUCCGCAUUCAAUUUUUGAAUCGGCACCAAUUUAGGAUUAACAAAGUAAUUCUUGUUAUUGACAUACUUACACAAUAAAAGUACCGCCAAUAUGAUAUGGGCGAAAAAGGGUAAUGACUAAUAAGGAUAGAAAGAACACAUGUUGUUAGUCCUCACCUCCUGGGAAGGUUAGUGAGCGGGAUAGAAAUGACAUUUUACAUGAUGGUGUAUCAAUUUUUGAAUCGGCACCGAUUUAGGACUAACAAAGUAAUUCUUGUUAUUGACACACUUACACAAUAAAAGUACCACUAAUACAACAUGGACGAAAAAGGGUAAUAAGGAUAGAAAGAACACAUGUUGUUAGUCCUCACCUCCUCUGAAGGUUAGUGAGAAGGAUAGAAAUGAUAUUGUACGGGAUGGUGUAUCAAAAAGCUACAAGUCACUGUGCUUGUGAUGAACGACAAGAUGAAAUCAUUUUUCUCCAUGUCUUGAUUUCCAGUGGCGACCCAUGAGCAUUUAACUAUGAAUAUUAAACUGGUGUCUGAAUUAAUCAGAAAAUAAGUGUUCCUUCCAAUAUAUAUGUAUUUGCAACACUCAUUUUGUGAGACAAUAAUAAAUUCAAAAGAAGAGAUUGUUGAGUUGACAGUUAUAAUGGCUCAGAACAGAGGUGUGGGACUUACCGCGAAAGAGUAACAAGAAGCCUAGAACUUGGAACCACACAUGCACAACAAUGUUGUCUUGUUAUUCCCUACGGUAUUAUCAUGUUGUAGUACAUUAUGAUAUCCUUAAUUUGUUUUAAAUUUUUAUAGUGAGUUGUGAAUUAUAUAUGUACGUUGAGAAAUAAAAUUUGAGUACCCGUAGCAAUGCACGGGCAAUUAU